rnacentral:lncRNA from 1 species
GUCCAAACAAAAUUAAUAGUGUUAUUUUUGAGAAAAAAACAAAUUAAAAAUAAUUUCCAUAAAGGUAAUAGUCAUCUUACUGUAUCUAUAAACUCAUUAUGAAAAUUCUGAAAAUGUAAUGGCUUUGAAAUCAGGGGAAGGAGAGGCCCUGCUCAUUUCAAGGUGUUAUUCUCCAACGAGUGACUAACAGGGAAGGUAUGUGACUCUUGGGGCAUCCCUGCAGGUACAGUGAAUGAGCAAAUUCGUAGCAGCAUUAUGACAUCACCAGGGAGCGUGACUUGGGUCAAGAGCUUGGCAGGAGGCUUUGGGAACAGUAGAAUCAACAGCAAUCAAGACUGGCAAGCCAACAUACUGGCCACCAUAAAACUGAAAAGAGAGCUUAUUGUACCUCACGCACAGCAGCAGGUUUAACAGAAAAGUAGACAUGUUUAUAGUCCCAGAUUUACAGCACACCUUAUAAACACCUUAUUACUUAGAAUCCAGUCUGCUGUCCCAGAAACUAAGAAUGUGACUUUGUUAAGCAGUAGGAUUUGUUGACAUAAAUGUCUUGACUAAGUUUGCCAUUGUGGUUAACCAAAACGCAUUUACUCCUGGGAAAGUAAACACAAGCAAACAAAAUGCCUCUUAUACUACAAUACGGUAAGUUUCAAAUUGACCAAACUUAAUGCUAUGACAUAAAUAUGCUUAAUGUUUAUGGAAUUUUUUAGAAACCUUUUGCCAUGUUAGGCUUACCAUCCUGUAUAAGUCUUACUGAAUGGGAAUGUGUUUUCAGAAUUACAUGUACUUAAAGACUUCAUCAGAAAUAUUCAGACAACCUGCCAUGAAUACCAGGGCUGACCACGCAGCAGAUAAAAUGGGUCAUGGUCUCCUCAGACAUUAACGUGGAUAAAUCAGUUCUGCACCAUGUAAUAGCUACACAUCGAAAUGCUUACCAACAAUUAAAAUUAGAGAACUAAUGGAAAAUAAUGUUGAAUAAAUAUUAUAAAACCACAUGAAAAUAUGUUCAAGAACGGCAAAGUACCUGGAUGAAACUCACAAAGUUGAGAAAAUUUCUAGGGAAUAAUGAAAAUUCAGACUGAUUUUCUGAUGCUUAAAACUUCAUCCAUUUAACAGUGGAUACAAUCCCUUGUUUUCGGGUAGAUUUUUGAAAUUACAGACUUACAGGACCAUUGGUGUGUAACCAAAUAAACUCAGCAGCUUUCCUAUCCUUUCAGCCUUCUAGUUAGCCCUCACCAAAUCUCAAAAAUUCUAUAGUAGGAAAGUUCUUUAUGGUCAGAUAUAAAAACAGGGGUAGAAUGUUCAAAGUGAAAGAGUUGAUGAUUACAGUCAACAUAGGGAUUACUUUUUACAGUUCUAGGCACACAAAUUAAAACUGACAUUGACAAAGUGAAGCAAGUUCAAAGGAAAGAAAUUAGAAUAAAGAGAUUAGGCCCACAUAUUCUCACACUGUGAUAAAGUUGAAAAAAUCAGGGGAUAUUUAGUUUGUAAAAAAACUAUAAGUUUGUGGAGGAAUAUGAUCAUUGACCCCAAUACUUAGAUGGAAUAGAGCACAGUCUAGUUCUGUUCUAGUAACAAUAAAUAGAGGUUACAAGGAGACCAUUAAAAUAUAA